rnacentral:lncRNA from 1 species
AGGCAACACCCAAAGCCACUGUCAGAUGUCAUGGAGAUGAGACCUCACAAGGAAAGGUGAGGAGCCAAGAUGUCCCACUAGAUGCAGCCAAGGAGAGCUUCUCCAAUGGAAAGAGACCAGACCAUCAAGUAGACUGGCAUAUUCUGAAAAGAUCUCUGGAAAGAAGGCAUAGAGACUGGACAGAGGGAAGUUUCAAGCCCUGGGCUGAAAGAGGAGGAAUUUGGGAACCCUGCAUGGGAUUGCCUAGCACAAAGACUUGUUCCUGGCUCUAAGGUGAAGGGCCUACUCAACGUGAAGAUGAUGAGAAUGAAGACCUUUAUGAUGAUCUGCUUCCACUUAAAGAAUAGUAGGUAUUUGGCUGACUCCUGGACUAUGCAAGCACAAGAAGAGAUUUCAGAAGGUUUGGAAGAGAGUCUCUUCUGAGAGGCUGAGGGCUAAGAAGACUGCCCUGUGCAGGAAAGAUGUUGGAGUGCAAGCCCAUCUGGAAUGGAGAGACCUCGAUGAAACACAUAGGCAAUUAAUUAGAUCCCAGAAAGGCCACACUGUGCAAGCCCAUCAUGAUCUGAAGGCAGCGGUGGUUGCUGGUGGAGGAUGUGAGCUUUGGAACUGGAGCUCUUUGAUUCAAAGCUCUGCCGCUUACUCACUGGAUAAGACCAUGAUCAAGUUAUUUCAUCUGAAAAAUUGAGUUGACUGCAGGUAACUGAAACUGCGGAAAGUGAAACUGCAGAUAAGAGGGACCACUGUAAAUAAGUGACAUGAAUGAUACUGCAAAGGACCAUAGCCUAACCAGCCAAGCAAACUGGAAGUACCUUUAGACUCACGCUUUGCCAAGCUCAGUUCCAGAAUCACAUGAUGAAAAGAAUGAUGGAAAGAAAAUGUUUGUGAUAUUAAAAUUAAGGAAAUUACUCCAACUCAGAGCUUUGAAUCUUGACAGAGUGUUGCAAAGACAGAAGAAAUGUUUACCUCAUAAUUCCAGAUGGCAA